UGGGGGGUGGGUUGUAGUAUUUGGUGGGGGGGAUACAGGGAAGGUCAGCAGUGGGGAUAGGGGUUAGGUGGGAAAGUUAAGUCCUUAGGUGUCAUGAUGGGAAGUUAAUAGGUAAGGUUUGAAACUGAUAAAUCAAGAAAGAGCUGGAUAAACAUGUUAUUAGGAAAGAUGGAGGAAAAUACUCAGGGAAACAGCUGGAAACCUGAUGGAUAUGCCUCUGGGGAACCAGCUGGGGGAGACGGAGAGGUGGGGCGGUUCUUUUUCAUUAUGUCUUUUAUGCAUAUUUUUCUUUUUUAAAAAUUGAAAUAUCAUUGAUUUACAAUAUUGCAUUAGUUUCAAGUGUACAGCAAAGUGACUCGGUUAUACUUAUAUAUAUGUAUAUAUAUAUAUUUUCAAUUCUUUUACAUUAUAGGUUAUUAUAAGAUAUUGAAUACAGUUCCCUGUGAGAUACAGUAAAUCCUUGUUGUUUACCUAUUUUAUAUAUAGUAGUUUGUAUUUGCUGAUUCUAAAUUCCUAAUUUAUACCUCCCCACCCCAGCUUCCCCCUUGGUAACCACAAGUUCAUUUUCUAUAUCUGUGAGUCUGUUUCUGUUUUGAAAAUAAGUUCAUUUGUACUAUUUUUUAGAUUCCACAUAUAAGUGAUAUCAUAUAAUAUUGGUCUUUUCCUGACCUACUUCACUUAGUGUGAUAAUCUCUCUAGGUCCAUCCAUGUUGCUGCAAAUGGUGUUAUUUUAUUCUUUUUAGUGGCUGAGUAAUAUUCCAGUGUAUAUAUGUACCACAUCUUCCUUACCCAUUCAUCUAUCGAUGGACCCUUAGGUUGCUUCCAUGUCUUGGCUAUCGUAAAUAGUGCUGCAAUGAACAUUGGGGUGCCACAUUUUUCUUUUUUUUUAAAAAAAAAAAUAUUCAUUUAUUUAUUUUUGGCUGCAUUGGGUCCUCUUUGCUGCGCACGGCCUUUUUGUAGUUGUGGCGAGCGGGGGCUACUCUUCGUUGCGGUGUGCGGGCUUCUCAUUGCGGUGGCUUCUCUUGUUGAGAAGCACGGGCUCUAGGCGCGUGGGCUUCGGUAGUUAUGGCACACGGGCUCAGUAGUUGUGGCACGCAGGCCCUGUUGUUCUGCGGCAUGUGAGAUCUUCCCGGACCAGGGCUCGAGAACCUGUGUCCCCUGCAUUGGCAGGUGGAUUCUUAACCACUGUGCCACCAGGGAAGCCCCACAUUUUUCUUUUUGAACUCCGUUCUUUUAUUACUUCGGUAAAAAAAAAUAAGUUAGUAGAAAUUAGUUUUGAAGAAAACACAGACCCUCUGGGUUGGAAGAGGCCUCUGAGUUCAGCUCGUUCAGCUCUCCAGAAGUGGGCUCAUCUCUCUGACAUGCUGGUCACGUGGUCGACUGCUCGGCAUAAACACCUCCAAAGAGGGCAACUCACUGCCUGCCCUGUGGGGUCACCAGGACCUGCCAUGCUGCCCUGAGCUCUGUCCCCUGGCUGUCUGUGCUCACUGGCCCGAUUCUGCCCUCGGCAGCUCCAGAGAUGGAAAGGGUUUUAUCGGGGUGGGGAACAGAAGAGACCUAGCAUGUGGGUACUUUCUGGCGAGCGAGGUGGGAGGGCUUCCCUGGGAACCCUUGGCAAGUGGAUGUCUGUUUAAGCACACAGGUUGCUCAGCCCGCGGGGCAGCAGGGCCUAGGAGGCAGGGAGAAGACACGCUGGCUCUGCCGGUGGCAAACGCUCCACCCGGGCGGCCUUGGAAAGGGACUCCCGGAGACCCAGGCCUCGUGCUCUCUGAAUCCACCCACAUCAGGGCCUCUGGCUGGAGUGAAUCACACGGCCCCUAAGUGCUGGCGUGCAAGCGCCGGUCCACUGCCACUUUCUGAGUGCCCAGCUCCUGUGCACGGCAUUCAAGGCUUCGUGCUCCCGUUUGCAGAUGAUGUGUCUGGGAGGAUCAGGGAGGUGGUGGCUUGUCCAGGCUGGAGGGGGCACGGCCCAGGACAGGACUUAGAUAGGUCAUUGAUGCCAAACCAGGCUGUCGUGUACUCUGAACUUCAAAGGGAAGGGAGCGGGUCUUCUUCCUCUUUGCCGGCCCCGCCCAAGCUGGGAUAUGGGGCCACCAGGGGCUCCCGGGGAAGGAGCUGGUUCUGUGGGGCCAGCUGUGGAUGAGGGCAGGGAGACCCCAGGUCACAGCGCUGGAAGUAGUCCUUCCAGCCCCUGACAGAGCUGGCCCCCUGGGAGCCCGCCAGGCUUAUUAAUAUCCUGCUGCGUCAGGGGCUCUUGAGUUUCGGCAUCACAAGACCCAGAGGCUGAGCACGACAGGGCUAUUCUUGACUCCGCAGCAUCCUCUCUCCCCCCGCCCUUCCCACCUCAGGCUGGGGGCCCUGUGCUCUGAGUGGUCAUGUGGCCUGGGGGCAAGUCACUUCACCUGACCACGAAGUGGAGGCAGGACGCCCGUUCAGACACUGCUCCUCCGUGGCCUGGCACACAGGAGGAGCUAAGAGGCAGGAGCUGCUCUUCCAGAAAAUGCCCUUUCCAGAGGCCCUGCUGCGGGCCAGCCCUGUCCUUGUUGCUGGGCGUCCUGCAGCGGGGGCUGCACGGUCCGGUUCUCACAGAGCUCUCACUGUCUGCCCAGUGUGGGCCCCCAGCCAGCAGCCACAGCUGAUGGGCUCGGCCGGGGGCCAGACAGAAGCCGAGCCCCUCCGAUGGCCAAACUGAUCAGCUCUCCUGGACAUCUGGAAUUGGGUCUUGGGGACUCUGGUCGUGUGGGGUGGGUACUGGCUGAGGGGAAGAGCAUCUGGACUCGGGGAGGGAGGUGGUGAGGGACCCAUGUGGGGGUGUCCAUGGCAACAGAGGGGGCUAGACUGCAGAGGGUGAAAUGAGGCACAUGCAUCAAAAGACAAGUGACUCAGGAGAGAGGCCUCCCAGCCCCUGGUUCCCAGCCCUCUGUACCCACUUCCUGCCCCAGGCUGCAGGAGGCUGCUUUGCAUCCCCCGUGCAACACCCUCCUUGCUGCCGCAGACUUCCUCAUAGCCCUGCAAAGGCGGGGCGAGGUGGGAUCAUUUCUUGACCACCUGGCACUUGGAGUUCUGCAAUCAUGGUCUAAAACUAUUUACCGAGGACCUCCCUGGUGCCAGAGCCCGGCCUGAGUGAGCUACACAUGUCAUCUCCUCCAAGCCUCACAAGAUGCCUGUUCUCCCCAUUUUACAGAUGAAGAAACUGAGGCCCACAAGGCAAAGUCAGCUGCCACUAGGUGAUAAAGCUAGGACUCAAACCCAGGUCUGGAUGAAUCCAGAGCCCUU